AUUCUCCUCCCGUGACACAUUCCACCUUCCACCUUCUAGAACUCACUCUCUCUUUUCAAACUCUCUGUCUUCUCUUCUCUCCACAUCACCAUAGCCCAACGAGAGCUCGAGACACCAUCACCACAGAUUCUAAUUAAAUCGAGACCCCAAACCACCAAAUACAAAACCUGCGCAACCUGGGGAUCCCUAUGGUACCGUGGUAUGUUAAAUUAUGUAAUGGGAAGUAGGAGAAUCCAAGCAGGGGUUCUCGGUGAGAGUAGCUCUAAUGGAAUCAAGCUACAACCUUUGAAUGCCUUCUAGCAUCUUGGAUUAAAUCUGGGUUCGAAAAUAUGGGUCUCUGACCUCUGUGAUUAUUUGUUCUUCACCCCAGCUUCUAGCAUGGAGCUCCGGCGAGGAACCCGUCGAACUUGGGGUCCCAUGAGCUCGAAUUGGUCCCGUUCGAAACUCAGAAAACCGGCAAUGGAAAUCCGACAUGUUCAUGUCGAAUCGAAGUGAAUUUGACUCGAUUUCAUCUGUUAUGAUGCCAUGAGGAAAUUAUCUGAAUUUCUGGUGAAAUUCUAGUGCAAACCCAUGUGAAACCGAGGUGUUUCACCUCUGUUCAUUCUCUGCAAUCAGUUCCAGAAACCAGCGAACCCACACCAGUGCAACUCCGGUGAAAUCUGAGACAAAUCUACCCUCUUUCAUCCUUAAUCUGUGAUUGGGUGCGAUGUUAUGAUACAAAGUUGAAUUAUGGGGCACCUAUGGUGGAUUAUACUCUCAUCAUCGGUGAGUGAACCCCUUCUUAAAUGAAUAUUUUAUAACUAUUAGUCUAGCGUGCAUUUUAAAUUUCAUGAUAUAAACAUGCCUUGUAUUAUGCUUUAUGGAAUUUCAUAUUCACGGUUAGAAAAUUGUGUUUUACAGAGAUUGCUUUACGAAAUAUUUCUGAUUAUCGAAUUUAUAUUUUCUAAAGGUUUUGAAAUAGUGGUUUUAUACGAAUGAAUUGUGGUGGAUUUAUUUGUGAGGAUGGAAAGGUAAGACUCUCACAUCGUUAAAAGGAGAAACUUGUAAGGGCUUAUAAGAGGUUGUACUACUUCUCAUAUUACAAAUUGGUUUUAUGGUGGAACCUCAACUUUCUUCAUGGUAUCAGAGCAGAUUAGCCCACGUGUGAACCUUAAUGGCUACACGCGCUUCAUAUCACUCAAUUCGUGUUAUCCACGUAUUUGGCUUGAAAAUUUGCUAUAUGUGAUUUUAUGAUGUAAGUUAGCUCAAUUUUCUGCACUUUAGUGAUUCCUAUUUCUUAUUGAAAGGAGAAAGUCACAUAUCAUUGAAAGGAGAAACCUUGCAAGGGCUUAUAAGAGGUUGUGUUAUUCCCUUUAUUACCAAUUGAUUUUACGAUGGAAACUAGCUCAACUUUCUACACUUUAGUGAUUACUAUUUCUUAUUAUUAGCUUUUGAUAUACAUAAAAAUAUAUAUUAAUUACUAUCUUGAACUAAUGUUCAAGUCAUUUGGACAUUUAUAAAUUCGAGUGGGAACCGGAAUCACGUGCACUUAUCUUGAACGUAUGGAAUGUUGAAGAUAAAAGAUAUUGCCACAGCAUCAGUGCCACAUCAGCAUUGCCAUGUCAGCAAGUUAGUUGAAAGUUGUAGCUGAUAGAAUUGGUUAUAUGCCAAAGAAAUCUUGAAUACAUAGUGUGAAUUUGUAAGAGGGUUUCCUGUGCAUUUGUGAAAAGUAUAUUGAAUUGUUGAAAGUAUGGCGUUCAAUUCUGUUAAAAUUGAGAGUCUUUUGGGUAUGAUUACUGUCAAACUACAAGAAGAUAACUUUGUAAAGUGGAGCUUUCAGUUUUAAGUCGGUUCUUAGGGGAUAUGAUCUUUUUGAUGCUGGUGUGACAAAAGAAAUUACUAAAACCUAUAAUGAAUUGGUCAAGAAAAAUGUUUUCUUGUUUAGUUUGUUAAUUGCAACACUUUCGAAUGAAGUUAUGGAUCAUGUCCUUGGCUGCGAGAAUUCACAGGAAGCGUGGAAAGGUUUGGAAGAGAGAUAUGCAUCUAUCUCAGUUGUAAGAAUCAAUCAACUCAAGAUUGAAUUUCAUACUGCACAAAAGGGGGUUGAUUCAGUAGAUAAAUUGCUUAGGUUGCAGCGUAUUAGAGACCAAUUAAUUGUUGCAGGAGAAAAGAUCACUAAAAAUGAUUUGGUGAUUGCUGCUUUAUCUGGAUUGCCAACAGAAUUUGAGAUGAUCAAGACAGUAAUUCUUGCAAGGGAAACUCCAAUUUUAUUGAAAAUUUUCAGGGCUCAGCUUCUUGGUGUUGAGGGAAGUAUUAAGUCAAAACUCAAUACCUUGUCUAACUUAAUGUCUGCAAUGUAUGUUCAAGGAAGUUCUUCAGGUUCACAAAGUUAAGGAGGCUACCAAGGCUAUGAACAAGUUGAAAGCUCAAAUAAUCAAAGAAAUCAGGGGGGAAAUGUUUUCAAUGGAUGAUCUAGCCAUGGAAGUAAUGGUGGAAAGACCUUUAAUUCACAACAAAGGUCUAACCACAACAAUAGGAGGUUCUCUGGUGGAAACAAGUGCUCAACAAACUUGGGAAUUGGUACCACCACCAGCAGAUGAUAGAUCCAUUAUUGGCAGCACAUGGGUAUACAAACUCAAAAAGAAUCCAGAUGGUACAAUCUCAAGGCAUAAAGCUAGGCUAGUGGCACAAGGGUUCUCUCAAGAAUAAGGGAUUGAUUAUUCAGAAACCUUUAGCCAUGUUGUGAGACACACCACAGUAAGGAUACUUUUGGCAUUGGAUGCAAUCAAAUAUUGGGAUUUAAGACAACUAGACAUCAAAAAUGCAUUUUUGCAUGGUGAAUUGCAAGAGGAUAUUUACAUGAAACAACGUCAGGGUUUUGUGGAUAUGACUAAUGCAUCCUAAGUAUGCAAACUUAUCAAGUCUCUAUAUGGACUUAAACAAGCUCCAGGAGCUUGGAACUCCAAAUUCACAAGCUACCUACCUGCAAUGGGAUUUAAAGCUUCAGCAUCUGAUUCAAGUUUAUUUGUCAAACAGUGUGGUGGUGAUGUUAUCAUACUACUGUUAUAUGUAGAUGAUAUUAUAAUCAUUGGUUCUAAUUCAAGUAAGGUGCAAAAUGUCAUCACAGAGUUAUCUGAGGUGUUUGAACUCAAAGAUAUGGGCAGGUUAACAUACUUUCUUGCGUUGCAAGUCAAUUACAAGAAGAAUGGUGAUAUCUGUGUAAAUCAAUCUAAGUACGUCAAAGAUCUUCUUCAUAAAGCUGGAAUGGAAUCUUGUAAGCCAGCAUCAACACUAUGUAAGCCACACAAUCCAAUGCUAGCCCUUGAAGGAAAAGUGUUGAUUGAUCCCAGGUUUGUAUAGAAGUAUUGUAGGAUCUUUGCAAUAUCUAACCUUUAUAAGGCCAGAUAUUGCAUAUGUAGUAAAUUUUGUACGUCAGUUCAUGGCUUCACCUACAGAGGUACAUUUAAGGGAAGUUAAAAGGAUUUUAAGGUUUCCAAAAGGAACUAUGCAGAAUGGUAUAACAUUUUCAACUGAUACAGAAGUGAGAAUCACUACAUUUAGUGAUUCAAAUUGGGUUGUAGACUUGAACACAAGGAGGUCAGUCACUGGUUAUGUAGUCUACAUUGGGAAUAAUCUAAUGUCUUGGCAGUUAAAGAAGCAUGAUUUAGUUUCAAGGAGUUCUGCAUAAGCUGAGUAUAAGGCAUUAGCCUACACUGUAGAUGAUGUAGCAUAGAUACGAAACAUUUUGAAAGAUAUGGAUGUUGUGCUACCUUUUCCACUGUGAUA